UACGUAGGGGCCUAGCGUUGUCCGGAAUUAUUGGGCGUAAAGAGCUCGUAGGCGGUUCGGCAAGUCGGAUGUGAAAUCUCCACGCUCAACGUGGAGGGGCCAUUCGAAACUGCCGUGACUCGAGUCCGGUAGGGGAGUGUGGAAUUCCCGGUGUAGCGGUGAAAUGCGCAGAUAUCAGGAGGAACACCGAUUGCGAAGGCAGCUCGCUGGGACGUAACUGACGCUGAGACGCGAAAGCGUGGGGAGCAAACAGG
rnacentral:rRNA from 1 species